GACGAACGCUGGCGGCGUGCUUAACACAUGCAAGUCGAACGGAAAGGCCCUGCUUUUGUGGGGUGCUCGAGUGGCGACCGGGGGAGUAACACGUGAGUAACCUGCCCUUGACUUUGGGAUAACUUCAGGAAACUGGGGCUAAUACCGGAUAGGAGCUCCUGCGGCAUGGUGGGGGUUGGAAAGUUUCGGCGGUUGGGGAUGGACUCGCGGCUUAUCAGCUUGUUGGUGGGGUAGUGGCUUACCAAGGCUUUGACGGGUAGCCGGCCUGAGAGGGUGACCGGCCACAUUGGGACUGAGAUACGGCCCAGACUCCUACGGGAGGCAGCAGUGGGGAAUAUUGCACAAUGGGCGGAAGCCUGAUGCAGCAACGCCGCGUGCGGGAUGACGGCCUUCGGGUUGUAAACCGCUUUCGCCUGUGACGAAGCGUGAGUGACGGUAAUGGGUAAAGAAGCACCGGCUAACUACGUG
rnacentral:rRNA from 1 species